UCUCACUGGUCCAGCUGGUAGCAGAGGUGAUGUAGACAACACUGAACUAGAGACAGUUCAAAGCCUCCAGCCACUUGGAGCCAUACACACUCUAUCAGCUGACAGCUCAGAGUAUCCUCUCCUGUGAAGCAAUCAAAUAGGAGCUGGGCCCCUGACCCAGGGUCUGCUCCCCAAGGGCAUCCCCUGAUUUAAACUCCUUCUCCUCCUUGGUCUCAUCCAGCACUCCCCAGGGGGAGCAAGGGGCAGGAGUCUUCACAGCGUCAUCCCCAGAUGCUAUCAUACCGUGGAGUCCUGGGAAGUAUAAAUUGUGGAAAACCUGGAUCCAGCAGGGUUGACUGUCAUGUGGUGUGGCAUAGCACAGGAAGUUUCAGAAGUCCCCAGGAGACUCGGCCACAGGCCAGAUAUUUACUGAAGACCAUGCACCCUAUGGCCCUUCCAGGUGUCAGAGACGGAACAGAAGGCAAAGACAGCCCCUCAGAGCUGCACGAUG